rnacentral:rRNA from 1 species
GACGUAGGGCGCGAGCGUUGUCCGGAUUUAUUGGGCGUAAAGAGCUCGUAGGCGGCUCAUUGCGUCAACCGUGAAAACCUGCCGCUCAACGGUAGGCUUGCGGUUGAUACGGGUGGGCUGGAGUUCGGUAGGGGAGACUGGAAUUCCUGGUGUAGCGGUGAAAUGCGCAGAUAUCAGGAAGAACACCUAUGGCGAAGGCAGCUCUCUGGGACGGUACUGACGCUGAGACGCGAAAGCGUGGGGAGCGAACAGG